rnacentral:rRNA from 1 species
GAUGAACGCUGGCGGCGUGCCUAAUACAUGCAAGUCGAGCGGACAGACGAGGAGCUUGCUCCUCUGACGUUAGGCGCGGGGGGGUGAGUAACACGUGGAUAACCUACCUAUAAGACUGGGAUAACUUCGGGACACCGGAGCUAAUACCGGAUAAUAUAUUGAACCGCAUGGUUCAAUGGAGAGAGACGGUUUUUGUGGAACGUAUAGAUGGAUCUGCGCCGCAUUAGCUAGUUGGUAAGGUAACGGGUUAUCAAGGCAACGAUGCGUAGCCGACCUGAUGGGCGGGUAGCCCACACUGGAGCUGAGACGCCGUCCAUAGUCCUACGGGAGGCAGCAGUAGGGUAUCUUCCGCAACGGGCGGGAGCCUGACGGAGCGACGCCGCGUGAGUGAUGAAGGUCUUCGGAUCGUAAUACUCUGCUAUGAGGGAAAAACAAAUGUGUAAGUAACUAUGCACGUCUUGACGGUACCUGGUCAGAAAGCCCCGGCUAACUACGUG